rnacentral:rRNA from 1 species
AGGAUCAUUACUGAGUUGCCAACACGAGCUGUUGCUGGUCCUCAAACAUUGGGGGCAUGUGCACGCUCUUGUUCACACAUCCACUCACACCUGUGCACCCUCUGUAGUUCUAUGGUCUGGGGGACACCUGUCUUCCUCCUGUAGCUCUACGUUUUUACACAUACACCGUAGCAAAGUCUUUUGGAAUGUGCACCGCGUUUAACGCAAUACAAUACAACUUUCAGCAACGGAUCUCUUGGCUCUCGCAUCGAUGAAGAACGCAGCGAAAUGCGAUAAGUAAUGUGAAUUGCAGAAUUCAGUGAAUCAUCGAAUCUUUGAACGCACCUUGCGCCCCUUGGCUAUUCCGAGGGGCAUGCCUGUUUGAGUAUCAUGAACAUCUCAACUCUCACGCUUUGCCGUGAUGAGCUUGGACUUUUUGGGGGUUUUGCUGGCCUACCGUCAGCUCCUCUGAAACAGAUCAGCUUGCCAGUAUUUGGUGGCGUCACAGGUGUGAUAACUAUCUACGCUUGCGAUUGUUUACCGAGUAACCUUUGGCAACAAAGGUUUGCUGGAGCUCAUAAAUGUCUCUCCUCAGCGAAGACAGCUUUUGACCGUUCGAUCUCAAAUCAGGUAGGACUACCCGCUGAACUUAAGCAUAUCAAUAAGCGGAGGAAAAGAAACUAACAAGGAUUCCCCUAGUAACUGCGAGUGAAGCGGGAAGAGCUCAAAUUUAAAAUCUGGCGUGCCUCUGGUCGUCCGAGUUGUAGCCUGGAGAAGUGUUUUCCGUGUUGGACCGUGUAUAAGUCUCUUGGAACA